GAUGAACGCUGGCGGCGUGCCUAAUACAUGCCAGUCGAGCGAACAGACGAGGAGCUUGCUCCUCUGACGUUAGCGGCGGACGGGUGAGUAACACGUGGAUAACCUACCUAUAAGACUGGGAUAACUUCGGGAAACCGGAGCUAAUACCGGAUAAUAUAUUGAACCGCAUGGUUCAAUAGUGAAAGACGGUUUUGCUGUCACUUAUAGAUGGAUCCGCGCCGCAUUAGCUAGUUGGUAAGGUAACGGCUUACCAAGGCAACGAUGCGUAGCCGACCUGAGAGGGGGAUCGGCCACACUGGAACUGAGACACGGUCCAGACUCCUACGGGAGGCAGCAGUAGGGAAUCUUCCGCAAUGGGCGAAAGCUUGACGGAGCAACGCCGCGUGAGUGAUGAAGGUCUUCGGAUCGUAAAACUCUGUUAUUAGGGAAGAACAAAUGUGUAAGUAACUAUGCACGUCUUGACGGUACCUAAUCAGAAAGCCACGGCUAACUACGU
rnacentral:rRNA from 1 species